rnacentral:rRNA from 1 species
CUCCAAGGCUAAAUACUACUGACUGACCGAUAGUGAACCAGUACCGUGAGGGAAAGGCGAAAAGAACCCCUGUGAGGGGAGUGAAAUAGAACCUGAAACCGUGUACGUACAAGCAGUAGGAGCAGGCUUGUCCUGUGACUGCGUACCUUUUGUAUAAUGGGUCAGCGACUUAUAUUCAGUGGCAAGGUUAACCAUCUAGGGGAGCCGUAGGGAAACCGAGUCUUAACUGGGCGUUCAGUCUCUGGAUAUAGACCCGAAACCAGGUGAUCUAGCCAUGGGCAGGUUGAAGGUUGAGUAACAUCAACUGGAGGACCGAACCGACUAAUGUUGAAAAAUUAGCGGAUGACUUGUGGCUAGGGGUGAAAGGCCAAUCAAACCUGGAGAUAGCUGGUUCUCCCCGAAAGCUAUUUAGGUAGCGCCUCGGACGAAUACUACUGGGGGUAGAGCACUGUUAAGGCUAGGGGGUCAUCCCGACUUACCAACCCUUUGCAAACUCCGAAUACCAGUAAGUACUAUCCGGGAGACACACGGCGGGUGCUAACGUCCGUCGUGGAGAGGGAAACAACCCAGACCGCCAGCUAAGGUCCCAAAUUACUACUAAGUGGGAAACGAUGUGGGAAGGCUCAGACAGCCAGGAUGUUGGCUUAGAAGCAGCCAUCAUUUAAAGAAAGCGUAAUAGCUCACUGGUCGAGUCGGCCUGCGCGGAAGAUGUAACGGGGCUAAGUA